AUUUCCUCCCGCGGACGCUCCUGCUGUGGAAUGAGCUCCCUUCCGAGGUUUUCCCGAGGGUCUACAGUAUGGGGUUCUUCAAAAAAGGAGUGUACAGGUUUUUAAAAGGUCGGCAACGCGCAUGUAACACCUCUGGAGUUGCAGGCGUCCAUAGGCUACGGUGACUGCUUACCAUCAGGCGGCCCUAAUGGUUGUUUGCCACCGAUGUGGUAUAAAAAAAUAAAAUAAAA